rnacentral:rRNA from 1 species
GAGUGGCGAACGGGUGAGUAAUACAUCGGAACGUGUCCGCUCGUGGGGGACAACCAGCCGAAAGGUUGGCUAAUACCGCAUGAGUUCUACGGAAGAAAGAGGGGGACCCGCAAGGGCCUCUCGCGAGCGGAGCGGCCGAUGACUGAUUAGCCGGUUGGUGAGGUAACGGCUCACCAAAGCAACGAUCAGUAGCUGGUCUGAGAGGACGACCAGCCACACUGGGACUGAGACACGGCCCAGACUCCUACGGGAGGCAGCAGUGGGGAAUUUUGGACAAUGGGCGCAAGCCUGAUCCAGCUAUUCCGCGUGUGGGAUGAAGGCCCUCGGGUUGUAAACCACUUUUGUAGAGAACGAAAAGACACCUUCGAAUAAAGGGUGUUGCUGACGGUACUCUAAGAAUAAGCACCGGCUAACUACGUACCAGCAGCCGCGGUAAUACGUAGGGUGCGAGAGUUAAUCGGAAUUACUGGGCGUAAAGGGUGCGCAGGCGGUUGAGUAAGACAGAUGUGAAAUCCCCGAGCUUAACUCGGGAAUGGCAUAUGUGACUGCUCGGCUAGAGUGUGUCAGAGGGAGGUGGAAUUCCACGUGUAGCAGUGAAAUGCGUAGAUAUGUGGAAGAACACCGAUGGAGAAGGCAGCCUCCUGGGACAUAACUGACGCUCAGGCACGAAAGCGUGGGGAGCAAACAGGAUUAGAUACCCUGGUAGUCCACGCCCUAAACGAUGUUAACUAGUUGUUGGGAAGUAAAAUUCUCAGU